rnacentral:lncRNA from 1 species
UCUUCUAUACAAUGGGUAGGAGUCCUUGCCUUGAAUUGUAGUUUCAUUAAAUGGUCUUGGAUAGUUGUUUUUGCAAGAUGCUCGAUUCUUUGUGCAAGGGCAAUUUCUGUUAAAUAUGCCGCAAGGACCAUGCAUCAUAUGUUUGAUGACCAUUUUAUAUAGAUCUGGAUACUUGUGCUUGUCUGGCAGCUCGGCGGAGAUUAUUCUAUCAUAUUGCUCUGGACAUGCGUACUUGUAUUUUCCAGUCAUUAUCAACAAAAAGUGAGCAUGAGGUAGACCUCUCUUUUGGAACUCUACAACAUAGGUAUAUGCCUUUAUCUUUCCAAGAAUGUGCUUUUUCAAUAGUUGAUUCUUCAUUUCUUCUAGUUUUGCCCUGAAAACCCUAACCACGAGAUCUGGGCGAUCUUGUGGUGUUGGUGCAAACUCUAGUUCUCGGGUGACC